CCUACGAGAGGCAGCAGUGAGGAAUAUUGGUCAAUGGGCGGAAGCCUGAACCAGCCAAGUAGCGUGCAGGAUGACGGCCCUACGGGUUGUAAACUGCUUUUAUACGGGAAUAACGCGCCUUACGUGUAGGUCUUUGCAUGUACCGUAUGAAUAAGGACCGGCUAAUUCCGUGCCAGCAGCCGCGUUAAUACGGGCGGUCCGGGCGUUAUCCGGAUUUAUUGGGUUUAAAGGGCGCGUAGGCCGCCUGUUAAGCCUGCUGUGAAAUGUCAGGGCUCAACCCUGGCCUUGCAGUGAGAACUGGCGUGCUUGAGAUCGGCGAAAGCAGGCGGAAUUCGUCGUGUAGCGGUGAAAUGCUUAGAUAUGAUGCAGAACGCCGAUUGCGAAGGCAGCUUGCUGCAGCGGAACUGACGCUGAUGCUCGAAAGCGCGGGUAUCGAACAGGAUUAGAUACCCCAGUAGUC
rnacentral:rRNA from 1 species